GAAUAUUUCUAGAACUCUCUACAUUCACCUCAAAUGGUCCUUUUUCAGUAUUUUUGAUGAAUGAACUCGUUUUAUUAUCACUGCAAAAUCUAUCCAAACAAGCCCUUAAAUUCACCGAUCGGAAAAUCUCCUUUCUCAUUUCCGUCCACCGGUAAUUAUUAUGUCGACGGUGACUUCGUCGCAAUACAAUUACUUGAACGGCACAUACUUUCCGACGCCGUUUCAUCUCCAACAACAACCAUCGCAGCCCUACAUUGGCUCUGCUCCUUCGCCAAUUGCUCCUCCCGUUGUUCCUCCUGUCUAUUCUGCUCCGGCAGCUGUUCCCGACGUUUACUCUUUACCUCAGUAUUUGCAGACGCAGCAACUAUUUCAAAGAGUUGUACAAACAAUCACGCCCGAGGCAAUUGAGAAUGUGAAAGCUGCACUUGCAAGCAGUGAGAUUGAGCAAAAAGCUGAGGUGAAAAAGAAAGCUGUGCCUCGAAAGGCAGCAGGACAGACUUGGGAAGAUCCUACUCUUGCAGAGUGGCCAGAGAAUGAUUUUCGGCUAUUCUGUGGUAACCUUGGGAAUGAGGUGAAUGAUGAUGUUUUAUCAAAAGCAUUUUCAAGAUUUCCUUCUUUUAACAUGGCUAGGGUCGUGAGAGACAAGCGGACUGGUAAGACCAAGGGAUAUGGAUUUGUUAGUUUUUCCAACCCUUCAGACCUUGUCGUGGCACUUAAAGAAAUGAAUGGUAAGUGGUCUUUCCAUAUUUGUAAGGCAUAGUCUCUACUUUGCUUCUGCUACAUUAAUAUAAUCGACGUCUUAAUGGCAUAGCUUGACAUUUGAAGAUCACCAGACCGAAAUGGUAUGGGAUGAUAACCAAAUGGAUCUGAAAUUUUCCUUGUUUAUUCUGUUUGUUGAUGCCUUAUAUGGUCUCUUUCUAUCCCUUGUUUGAUGUCAUAAGGUCAAAAGAUUUGGCCCGACGGAAGAGUGUUAUCUGCAAACCCCUCCCCCAAUGCGAGAAGACUUGCUGGAUGACCCAGCACCACAACAACUAGGAGUGUGCUGUUGAAGUCAAAUUAGGGAAGUAUGUUGGGAACCGGCCAGUUCAACUUCAGAAGAGUAAGUGGAAAGACAGGAUUGACUAUGAGGCUUUGACAAGACAGAAGAAUCUGUCUCCAAAGAAAGCAAAGUCACCAAAGAAGAGCGUAUUGCACAAGUGACCGCCAAACUUAUGGAGUAUAGCUUAAUAGUAGGAGUUUUAGAUGAAAUGAAUGAUAUUGAGUAAUUGAUAGCAGUAUCUAAUUUACAAUAAUGUCAAGUAUUAAUCUAACUCCUCAAAGUCAAUUUAUUCAUGAAUCACACCUUUAAAUUGAGAUAAUUAUAAGUUUUUUGUUUAUAUUA